rnacentral:rRNA from 1 species
UACGUAGGGUGCGAGCGUUAAUCGGAAUUACUGGGUGUAAAGCGUGCGCAGGCGGUGGCUCAAGCCAGGCGUGAAAUCCCCGGGCUUAACCUGGGAAUGGCGUUUGGGACUGGGUCGCUAGAGUGUGGCAGAGGGAGGUGGAAUUCCACGUGUAGCAGUGAAAUGCGUAGAGAUGUGGAGGAACACCGAUGGCGAAGGCAGCCUCCUGGGCCAGCACUGACGCUCAUGCACGAAAGCGUGGGGAGCAAACAGG